UGACUAAUACAAGGACUGAUGUUCAAUUCUCAUCACUCACAUGGCAGCUCACAACUAUCCAUAGAUCCAGUUACAUGGGAUCCAACGCCCUCUUCUGGCCUCUUGGGCACCAGGUAAGCUUGUUCUGCACAAAUAUACAUACAGGCAAAACACUCAUACAAUAAAAAUCUAAAAAAAUAAAAAUUAAAUAAAAAAUAGUGCCUCACAGACUUGUCUACAGAUAGUCUGAUGAAGGUAAUUUCUCAGUUAAGUUCCCUGUUCUCAGAUGACUAGGUUGUGUCAAGUUGACAAACAAAAACAAGAAAAUCAACAGUACAUCUACAGUAGUAAAACCAGUGUGGUACUGACAUAAAAGCAGACAUGUAAAUCAGUGGAACAGAAUUAAAAACCCAGACUUAAGUGCAGAUAGUUACAGUCAUCUGAUUCUUGGCAAAGAUGCCAAAAAUAUGCACUGGAGGAUAGACAGCAUCUUUUACCAAUUAUGUUGGAAGAACUGAAUGUCCAUAAGCAGAAGAAUGAAAUUAGACUUACUUGUAUAACCCUUCACAAAUCCAAUUCCAAACGAACCAAAUAUAUCAGUUUAUAUCCUGAAAUAUUGAAACUGCUAAAAGAAAAUAGAGCCAUUACUCUAUAACAUACAGGUACACGAAAGGGCUUUCUGAGUAGGACUUCAUCUGCUCAGAAAUUAGGUCAAUAAUUGAUUGUCAUAAAACAAAAAAGCUAUUGUACAGACUUUUUGUAUGUGAUAUUUGUUCUGAAUUGAUGAUUCCAGUAGACUCCCCAAAACAUUGUGGCCCUCCAGUUUAAGUAGGGGCUUGGAGGUCAAGGGAUUAAUAGAGUUUUGGCUAAAGUCCAACUUAUUGUGGGUCCAGUGGAUCCUGAAAUUCAUCCUGUAGUCAUUUCCCCAGUUCCAGAAUGUAUAAGUGGGAUAGCUAUACUUAGAAGUUGGCAGAAUUCCCACAUAGGUUCCCUGACCUGUGAAGUGAAGGCUAUCAUGGUUGAAAAGGCCAAUGGAAGCAAUUGGAGUUGCCUCUGCAAAGGCAAAUAGUAAGUCAAAAAUAGUGUUGCAUCCCUUGAGGAAGUGCAGAGAUUAGUGCCACCAUCCGGGACUUGAAAAACACAGGGGUGGUGGUUCCUACAUUUCUCUUUGUUCUCCUAUCAGACCAAUGUAGAAAAUAGAUGGAUAGAGGAGAAUGACAGGUAACAAUUGAAAACUUUAACAAGCAGUGACUGAAGCUGAUUUAUCAGAUAUGAUAUCCUUAUUUGAGCAGAUUAGCACAUCUCUCCUGCUACGUGAUAUGGAGCUAUUGAUCUAGCAAAUGCUUUUUCUGGGUAUCUUUUCACAAGGAUGGCAAGAAGCAGUUUACCUGCAGCUGGCAAAUCUAGCAAUAUACCUUUACAGUUUUACCUCAAGAGUCUAUUAACCCUCAGCCCUAUGUCAUAACUCAGUUCAAAGGGAUCUUGAUUAUCUGUCUCUCCCAAAACAGAUCAUACUGGCCCACUACUUGGAUGACAUCAUGCUGAUUUGACCAAGUAAAGGCAUUUGUGCCUCAGAUGGUAGGAAAUAAAUCCAAAUAAAAUUCAAGGGACUUAUUUGGAUUAUGGAAACAUAAUAUUCCUUACUUCAGUGUGUUACUUUGACCCAUAUACCAAGUGAUUCAGAAAAAUGCUAGCGUUUUGUGGUGUCUAGAACAGGAGAAAGCUCUCCAAAAGGUUCAGGCUACUCAACCACUUGGACCAUAUUAUUCUUCAGCAGAUUGGGACUGCUGAGACGUCCAUUCUCGUAGACCGAAACAGUUAACAGAUCCUUGGCUUUUCUGUAGGACAGCCAUUGCUGGACUACUCAGACUACAGUAAGCCAGUCUAUUAAAUUGUGUGCAUGUGUUCAGUCUAUCAAUUCUUAGAGAACACUUAAUACAUAAAGGAAGCAAUCUGUCAAAUGAGGAAGCCCACAGAAUGAGAAAGACUCUGCCAGCUCUACAUCCAAUAGAGAAUUAAUACCCAGAAUAUACAAAGAACUAAAAAACCAAAG
rnacentral:lncRNA from 1 species